UUUAAUUCGAUGAUACGCGAGGAACCUUACCUAGGCUAGAAUGCGCGUGACCGGCUCAGAGAUGAGCUUUUCCUUCGGGACACAAAGCAAGGUGCUGCAUGGCCGUCGUCAGCUCGUGCCGUGAGGUGUUGGGUUAAGUCCCGCAACGAGCGCAACCCCUAUGUUUAGUUGCCAUCAGGUUAUGCUGGGGACUCUAAACAGACUGCCUGCGCAAGCAGUGAGGAAGGCGGGGACGACGUCAGGUCAUCAUGGCCCUUACGCCUAGGGCUACACACGUGCUACAAUGGGCGGUACAGCGGGUUGCUACACAGCGAUGUGAUGCCAAUCUCUAAAAACCGUUCUCAGUUCGGAUCGAAGUCUGCAACUCGACUUCGUGAAGCUGGAAUCACUAGUAAUCGCGUAUCAGCAAUGACG
rnacentral:rRNA from 1 species